rnacentral:lncRNA from 1 species
AAACUUCUCUUACCCGAUGUAUUGCUUCUAUUUCACAGCCUUUUCGAGAGUUACAUCUUUUUUUUUUAAUUAUUUUUAUUUUAUAUGUACAAUUGUCUUGCCUAAAUGUAUGUCUGUACACUGCACGCAUGCCUGAGAUCAUGGAGGCAAGAAGUGGGCAUCGAAUCCCCUGGAGCUGAAAUUACAGGUAGUUGUGCAGCAUCAUGUGGUACUAGGAAAUGGACCCAAGUUGUGUGGAAGAUCGGUCACUGAGCUCAAGUGCUGAACCAUCUCUCCAGCCAUGAUAGUCACAUGUUUUAACACUGGGAAAUAACUUUUAUUCUUGAUUAUGGAUCUUGACCUUGAAUUCUAACUGUUUGGGCUUAAUAUUGCCUCUUGGAGUUUUUAUCUUUCAUCUUAUAUUUCACGGUAGUAGAAUAUAUUAGCAUAUCCUUUCUGUAAUUGCCAAGUUCUCCUGUAGGGUUGACCUGACCAGCCUGAUGAGGGAAUGUAACUCAUGCAGAGAGACUGGGUUUGGGUGGAUGUCGCUUGCUCAGGCAGAGGGUACCAGGAAAGUAGG